rnacentral:rRNA from 1 species
UACGUAGGGUGCAAGCGUUAAUCGGAAUUACUGGGCGUAAAGCGUGCGCAGGCGGUUUUGUAAGUCUGUCGUGAAAGCCCCGGGCUCAACCUGGGAAUUGCGAUGGAGACUGCAAGGCUUGAAUCUGGCAGAGGGGGGGUAGAAUUCCACGUGUAGCAGUGAAAUGCGUAGAUAUGUGGAGGAAUACCGAUGGCGAAGGCAGCCCCCUGGGCUAAGAUUGACGCUCAUGCACGAAAAGCGUGGGGAGCAAACAGG